rnacentral:rRNA from 1 species
CAAUAGCGUAUAUUAAAGUUGUUGCAGUUAAAAAGCUCGUAGUUGGAUUUCUGGUUGAAGCGACCGGUCGGGCGUUGAUUCGUCUGCACUGGAGUCGGUUUUGGCCAUCCUCUAGGAAAGUGCGUCUGGUAUUAAGUUAUCGGGCGUAUGAUCCUGGUCUUUUACUGUGAAAAAAUUAGAGUGUUUAAAGCAGGCCUUCGCCUUGAAUACAUUAGCAUGGAAUAAUAAGAUAGGACUUUGGUCUAUUUUGUUGGUUUGCAGACCGAAGUAAUGAUUAAUAGGGAUAGUUGGGGGUAUUUAUAUUCCGAUGUCAGAGGUGAAAUUCUUAGAUUUUCGGAAGAUAAACUUAUGCGAAAGCAUUUACCAAGGAUGUUUCCAUUAA